rnacentral:rRNA from 1 species
CGUAGGGUGCGAGCGUUAAUCGGAAUUACUGGGCGUAAAGCGUGCGCAGGCGGUUUUGUAAGACAGAUGUGAAAUCCCCGGGCUCAACCUGGGACCUGCAUUUGUGACUGCAAGGCUAGAGUACGGUAGAGGGGGAUGGAAUUCCGCGUGUAGCAGUGAAAUGCGUAGAUAUGCGGAGGAACACCGAUGGCGAAGGCAAUCCCCUGGACCUGUGCUGACGCUCAUGCACGAAAGCGUGGGGAGCAAACAGGAUUAGAUACCCUGGUAGUCCACGCCCUAAACGAUGUCAACUGGUUGUUGGGUCUUUACUGACUCAGUAACGAAGCUAACGCGUGAAGUUGACCGCCUGGGGAGUACGGCCGCAAGGUUG